rnacentral:rRNA from 1 species
AUUGAACGCUGGCGGCAGGCUUAACACAUGCAAGUCGAGCGGAGAGAGGUAGCUUGCUGCUUCGCUGACGAGUGGCGGACGGGUGAGUAAUGUCUGGGAAACUGCCUGAUGGAGGGGGAUAACUACUGGAAACGGUAGCUAAUACCGCAUAACGUCGCAAGACCAAAGAGGGGGACCUUCGGGCCUCUUGCCAUCGGAUGUGCCCAGAUGGGAUUAGCUAGUAGGUGGGGUAACGGCUCACCUAGGCGACGAUCCCUAGCUGGUCUGAGAGGAUGACCAGCCACACUGGAACUGAGACACGGUCCAGACUCCUACGGGAGGCAGCAGUGGGGAAUAUUGCACAAUGGGCGCAAGCCUGAUGCAGCCAUGCCGCGUGUAUGAAGAAGGCCUUCGGGUUGUAAAGUACUUUCAGCGGGGAGGAAGGCGAUAAGGUUAAUAACCUUGUCGAUUGACGUUACCCGCAGAAGAAGCACCGGCUAACUCCGUGCCAGCAGCCGCAG